GGCGGUAUAGCUCAGUGCUAGAGUGCAUGCCUAGUGUGUAUGAGGUCCUGGGUUCAAUCCCCAGUACCUCCA
rnacentral:tRNA from 1 species